UACGGAGGGUGCAAACGUUAUCCGGAAUCACUGGGCGUAAAGCGCAUGUAGGUGGCUUGGUAAGUGGGCGAUUAAAGACCGAUGCUUAACAUCGGGACUGUUGCCUAUACUGCCUGGCUUGAGGAAGGCAGGGGCAAGCGGAACUUUGGGUGUAGGAGUGAAAUCCGUAGAUAUCCAAAGGAACACCAAUGGCGAAGGCAGCUUGCUGGGCCUGUACUGACGCUGAGACGCGAAAGCGUGGGGAGCGAACGGG
rnacentral:rRNA from 1 species